AUGGUUAGUGUCUGGAAAGUUUUUCGGUCUGGGAUGGACUCGCGGCCUAUCAGCUUGUUGGUGAGGUAAUGGCUCACCAAGGCGAUGACGGGUAGCCGGCCUGAGAGGGCGACCGGCCACACUGGGACUGAGACACGGCCCAGACUCCUACGGGAGGCAGCAGUGGGGAAUAUUGCACAAUGGGCGAAAGCCUGAUGCAGCGACGCCGCGUGAGGGAUGACGGCCUUCGGGUUGUAAACCUCUUUCAGCAGGGAAGAAGCGAAAGUGACGGUACCUGCAGAAGAAGCACCGGCUAACUACGUGCCAGCAGCCGCGGUAAUACGUAGGGUGCGAGCGUUGUCCGGAAUUAUUGGGCGUAAAGAGCUUGUAGGCGGUUUGUCGCGUCUGCUGUGAAAAUCCGGGGCUCAACCCCGGACUUGCAGUGGGUACGGGCAGACUAGAGUGUGGUAGGGGAGACUGGAAUUCCUGGUGUAGCGGUGAAAUGCGCAGAUAUCAGGAGGAACACCGAUGGCGAAGGCAGGUCUCUGGGCCACUACUGACGCUGAGAAGCGAAAGCAUGGGGAGCGAACAGGAUUAGAUACCCUGGUAGUCCAUGCCGUAAACGUUGGGAACUAGGUGUGGGUCUCAUUCCACGAGAUCCGUGCCGCAGCUAACGCAUUAAGUUCCCCGCCUGGGGAGUACGGCCGCAAGGCUAAAACUCAAAGGAAUUGACGGGGGCCCGCACAAGCGGCGGAGCAUGUGGAUUAAUUCGAUGCAACGCGAAGAACCUUACCAAGGCUUGACAUAUACCGGAAACAUCCAGAGAUGGGUGCCCCGCAAGGUCGGUAUACAGGUGGUGCAUGGUUGUCGUCAGCUCGUGUCGUGAGAUGUUGGGUUAAGUCCCGCAACGAGCGCAACCCUCGUUCUAUGUUGCCAGCACGUGAUGGUGGGGACUCAUAGGAGACUGCCGGGGUCAACUCGGAGGAAGGUGGGGAUGAGGUCAAAUCAUCAUGCCCCUUAUGUCUUGGGCUUCACACAUGCUACAAUGGCCGGUACAAAGGGCUGCGAAACCGCAAGGUGGAGCGAAUCCCAAAAAACCGGUCUCAGUUCGGAUUGGGGUCUGCAA
rnacentral:rRNA from 1 species